AUGAGAAUUAUCCCACCAUGCCCUUGUGCGAGAUGUGCCAGACGUCACCGUAGAAAUCAGACGGACAUGAGUGAGCACCUUCGUACGCACGGAUAUAUGCCAAACUUUGACAUGCCGCCGAUAAACAUAGCCGAGCAGGACCGUGGUAGAGAGGAGGUGAUGCGACAACGCAUCGAUGGAUAUGAGGACGACGGGGUCAGGGACAUGCUAGAUGAUGUCAUUGUUGCAGAAGCGGCAAAUGCGACACCUUCAGAGAAUGAACCGGAGGAGCCGGAGGCAACCGCAAAGGCCUUCUUGGAGGUCCUGGCCUCGUCGAAGAAACCUCUUUAUGCGGGUGCGAAAAUAUCUCAGCUGGAUGCCAUCUCGCAACUGAUUGCAGUCAAGGCUGAGUACGGCUGUAGCCAGAAAUGCUUUGAAGCAUUCUUGGGAGUAUGGUCUAACAGCCUCCCUGAGGGUCAUGACCUGCCGAAAAGCAUGUACGAUACAAAGAAAAUCAUGAAGGCACUCUCUAUGGAUUAUGAGAAAAUAGAUGGUUGCCCGAAGAAUUGCCUUUUGUUUAGGCACGAGUAUGCGGAUGACAAGUACUGUAGGCAGUGCGGUUCGUCUUGGUACAUUGAGGUG
rnacentral:rRNA from 1 species